ACGGGGUCGAUCAGGCCGUUGCCCUCUCACGGCGGGAACAGGGGUUCGAUUCCCCUUGGGCGUACCA
rnacentral:tRNA from 1 species